rnacentral:rRNA from 1 species
UACGAAGGGGGGCUAGCGUUGUUCGGAAUCACUGGGCGUAAAGCGCACGUAGGCGGAUUGUUAAGUCAGGGGUGAAAUCCUGGAGCUCAACUCCAGAACUGCCUUUGAUACUGGCAAUCUCGAGUCCGGGAGAGGUGAGUGGAACUCCGAGUGUAGAGGUGAAAUUCGUAGAUAUUCGGAAGAACACCAGUGGCGAAGGCGGCUCACUGGCCCGGUACUGACGCUGAGGUGCGAAAGCGUGGGGGAGCAAACAGG